GGUCCAUGGGUGCGGAUCCGCACGUGGCGUCCGCCAUUUUGUAAGCGUCUGGAUUGCCGUUUCUGGUGAUAGGCUGCUUAUGCCUCGCCUCUGCAGCGCAGAUAGAAGGUGCCAGGAUAUCCCUCACCGGCAAGGGGGGGGGGAGAGAAUGAAGGGGAGAUCUCAGCGGUGAAAUGAUGCUGGUUAUAGAGGGAUUGGCCACCUCCCUCCCACCAACUGUAAGUGAGUCUCUUGUAGGCCGUAGAUCUGCCCCUGUUAACAGCCGCUAACCUCGGUUACAGGCUAUGUCAGAUCAGCCACCGCGGACUCCUCUUGUCUAUAGGAAGCUUUAACUUUA